rnacentral:misc_RNA from 1 species
GUUAAGGAAUGCCUUCCUCAUCGAAUGAUAAGCUCCAAUUCUUAUGUUAAAUGUAUAAAUUUAGAACUUCUCCUUAUUUGUCAGUUAAAUCAAGUUGGAGGGCCAAUUUGAGUGCAGUAAAAUUAUAAGGGCUCAGUUGAAUAUUUCAAUAAAUAUUGUGGAAUUGUUUGGCCUCUUUCCCUGCUUGUUAACAUCUUUUAUUUAUUUAGUUAAAGAUGAUUUUGCUAUGAUGGGAAUGGCUCUAUCGGAAAUCUUAUUUUCUGCAGGGUUCAGUUGGCUUCUUUUGUAUCCAAUGAGUUCUCUGAAGUCUCAUAAAUUUAACAUGUGUUUUUUUUUUCUCCAGGAGGAGAAGCUAAAAGAUAAAC